rnacentral:rRNA from 1 species
UACGUAGGUGGCGAGCGUUGUCCGGAUUUAUUGGGUUUAAAGGGUGCGUAGGCGGCCCUAUAAGUCAGUGGUGAAAUAUCGCAGCUUAACUGUGAGGGUGCCAUUGAUACUGUAGGGCUUGAGUGAAUUUGAGGUAGGCGGAAUUGACGGUGUAGCGGUGAAAUGCUUAGAUAUCGUCAAGAACAUCGAUAGUGAAGACAGCUUACCAAGCUUCAACUGACGCUGAGGCACGAAAGUGUGGGGAUCAAACAGG